rnacentral:rRNA from 1 species
UGGAUCCGCUGGCCGUCAGUGGCGAUGCAGGGCGUGCUAAUCUGCGAUAAGCGCCGGUAAGGUGAUAUGAACCGUUAUAACCGGGGAUACCCGAAUGGGGAAACCCAGUGUGACUUGUCACACUAUCAUUAACUGAAUCCAUAGGUUAAUGAGGCGAACCGGGGGAACUGAAACAUCUAAGUACCCCGAGGAAAAGAAAUCAACCGAGAUUCCCCCAGUAGCGGCGAGCGAACGGGGAGGAGCCCAGAGCCUGAAUCAGCAUGUGUGUUAGUGGAAGCGUCUGGAAAGGCGCGCGAUACAGGGUGACAGCCCCGUACACAAAAGCGCAUGUGCUGUGAGCUCGAUGAGUAGGGCGGGACACGUGGUAUCCUGUCUGAAUAUGGGGGGACCAUCCUCCAAGGCUAAAUACUCCUGACUGACCGAUAGUGAACCAGUACCGUGAGGGAAAGGCGAAAAGAACCCCGGCGAGGGGAGUGAAAAAGAACCUGAAACCGUGUACGUACAAGCAGUGGGAGCNNNNNNNNGUGACUGCGUACCUUUUGUAUAAUGGGUCAGCGACUUAUAUUCUGUAGCAAGGUUAACCGAAUAGGGGAGCCGGAGGGAAACCGAGUCUUAAUUGGGCGUUAAGUUGCAGGGUAUAGACCCGAAACCCGGUGAUCUAGCCAUGGGCAGGUUGAAGGUUGGGUAACACUAACUGGAGGACCGAACCGACUAAUGUUGAAAAAUUAGCGGAUGACCUGUGGCUGGGGGUGAAAGGCCAAUCAAACCGGGAGAUAGCUGGUUCUCCCCGAAAGCUAUUUAGGUAGCGCCUCGUGAAUUCAUCUCCGGGGGUAGAGCACUGUUUCGGCUAGGGGGCCAUCCCGGCUUACCAACCCGAUGCAAACUGCGAAUACCGGAGAAUGUUAUCACGGGAGACACACGGCGGGUGCUAACGUCCGUCGUGAAGAGGGAAACAACCCAGACCGCCAGCUAAGGUCCCAAAGUCAUGGUUAAGUGGGAAACGAUGUGGGAAGGCCCAGACAGCCAGGAUGUUGGCUUAGAAGCAGCCAUCAUUUAAAGAAAGCGUAAUAGCUCACUGGUCGAGUCGGCCUGCGCGGAAGAUGUAACGGGGCUAAACCAUGCACCGAAGCUGCGGCAGCGANNNNNNNNNNNNNNNNNNNNNNNNNNNNNNNNNNNNNNNNNNNNNNNNNNNNUGCUGGAGGUAUCAGAAGUGCGAAUGCUGACAUAAGUAACGAUAAAGCGGGUGAAAAGCCCGCUCGCCGGAAGACCAAGGGUUCCUGUCCAACGUUAAUCGGGGCAGGGUGAGUCGACCCCUAAGGCGAGGCCGAAAGGCGUAGUCGAUGGGAAACGGGUUAAUAUUCCCGUACUUGGUGUUACUGCGAAGGGGGGACGGAGAAGGCUAUGUUGGCCGGGCGACGGUUGUCCCGGUUUAAGCGUGUAGGCUGGUUUUCCAGGCAAAUCCGGAAAAUCAAGGCUGAGGCGUGAUGACGAGGCACUACGGUGCUGAAGCAACAAAUGCCCUGCUUCCAGGAAAAGCCUCUAAGCAUCAGGUAACAUCAAAUCGUACCCCAAACCGACACAGGUGGUCAGGUAGAGAAUACCAAGGCGCUUGAGAGAACUCGGGUGAAGGAACUAGGCAAAAUGGUGCCGUAACUUCGGGAGAAGGCACGCUGACACGUAGGUGAAGUGAUUUACUCAUGGAGCUGAAGUCAGUCGAAGAUACCAGCUGGCUGCAACUGUUUAUUAAAAACACAGCACUGUGCAAACACGAAAGUGGACGUAUACGGUGUGACGCCUGCCCGGUGCCGGAAGGUUAAUUGAUGGGGUCAGCGCAAGCGAAGCUCCUGAUCGAAGCCCCGGUAAACGGCGGCCGUAACUAUAACGGUCCUAAGGUAGCGAAAUUCCUUGUCGGGUAAGUUCCGACCUGCACGAAUGGCGUAAUGAUGGCCAGGCUGUCUCCACCCGAGACUCAGUGAAAUUGAACUCGCUGUGAAGAUGCAGUGUACCCGCGGCAAGACGGAAAGACCCCGUGAACCUUUACUAUAGCUUGACACUGAACAUUGAGCCUUGAUGUGUAGGAUAGGUGGGAGGCUUUGAAGUGUGGACGCCAGUCUGCAUGGAGCCGACCUUGAAAUACCACCCUUUAAUGUUUGAUGUUCUAACGUGGACCCGUAAUCCGGGUUGCGGACAGUGUCUGGUGGGUAGUUUGACUGGGGCGGUCUCCUCCUAAAGAGUAACGGAGGAGCACGAAGGUUGGCUAAUCCUGGUCGGACAUCAGGAGGUUAGUGCAAUGGCAUAAGCCAGCUUGACUGCGAGCGUGACGGCGCGAGCAGGUGCGAAAGCAGGUCAUAGUGAUCCGGUGGUUCUGAAUGGAAGGGCCAUCGCUCAACGGAUAAAAGGUACUCCGGGGAUAACAGGCUGAUACCGCCCAAGAGUUCAUAUCGACGGCGGUGUUUGGCACCUCGAUGUCGGCUCAUCACAUCCUGGGGCUGAAGUAGGUCCCAAGGGUAUGGCUGUUCGCCAUUUAAAGUGGUACGCGAGCUGGGUUUAGAACGUCGUGAGACAGUUCGGUCCCUAUCUGCCGUGGGCGCUGGAGAACUGAGGGGGGCUGCUCCUAGUACGAGAGGACCGGAGUGGACGCAUCACUGGUGUUCGGGUUGUCAUGCCAAUGGCACUGCCCGGUAGCUAAAUGCGGAAGAGAUAAGUGCUGAAAGCAUCUAAGCACGAAACUUGCCCCGAGAUGAGUUCUCCCUGAGACUAAGAGUCUCCUGAAGGAACGUUGAAGACGACGACGUUGAUAGGCCGGGUGUGUAAGCGCAGCGAUGCGUUGAGCUAACCGGUACUAAUGAACCGUGAGGCUAAACCUUACAAAGC